rnacentral:rRNA from 1 species
GGGUUGUGAGGUUAAGCGACUAAGCGUACACGGUGGAUGCCCUGGCAGUCAGAGGCGAUGAAGGACGUGCUAAUCUGCGAUAAGCGUCGGUAAGGUGAUAUGAACCGUUAUAACCGGCGAUUUCCGAAUGGGGAAACCCAGUGUGAUUCGUCACACUAUCAUUAACUGAAUCCAUAGGUUAAUGAGGCGAACCGGGGGAACUGAAACAUCUAAGUACCCCGAGGAAAAGAAAUCAACCGAGAUUCCCCCAGUAGCGGCGAGCGAACGGGGAGGAGCCCAGAGCCUGAAUCAGUGUGUGUGUUAGUGGAAGCGUCUGGAAAGGCGCGCGAUACAGGGUGACAGCCCCGUACACAAAAAUGCACAUGCUGUGAGCUCGAUGAGUAGGGCGGGACACGUGGUAUCCUGUCUGAAUAUGGGGGGACCAUCCUCCAAGGCUAAAUACUCCUGACUGACCGAUAGUGAACCAGUACCGUGAGGGAAAGGCGAAAAGAACCCCGGCGAGGGGAGUGAAAAAGAACCUGAAACCGUGUACGUACAAGCAGUGGGAGCACGCUUAGGCGUGUGACUGCGUACCUUUUGUAUAAUGGGUCAGCGACUUAUAUUCUGUAGCAAGGUUAACCGAAUAGGGGAGCCGAAGGGAAACCGAGUCUUAACUGGGCGUUAAGUUGCAGGGUAUAGACCCGAAACCCGGUGAUCUAGCCAUGGGCAGGUUGAAGGUUGGGUAACACUAACUGGAGGACCGAACCGACUAAUGUUGAAAAAUUAGCGGAUGACUUGUGGCUGGGGGUGAAAGGCCAAUCAAACCGGGAGAUAGCUGGUUCUCCCCGAAAGCUAUUUAGGUAGCGCCUCGUGAAUUCAUCUCCGGGGGUAGAGCACUGUUUCGGCAAGGGGGUCAUCCCGACUUACCAACCCGAUGCAAACUGCGAAUACCGGAGAAUGUUAUCACGGGAGACACACGGCGGGUGCUAACGUCCGUCGUGAAGAGGGAAACAACCCAGACCGCCAGCUAAGGUCCCAAAGUCAUGGUUAAGUGGGAAACGAUGUGGGAAGGCCCAGACAGCCAGGAUGUUGGCUUAGAAGCAGCCAUCAUUUAAAGAAAGCGUAAUAGCUCACUGGUCGAGUCGGCCUGCGCGGAAGAUGUAACGGGGCUAAACCAUGCACCGAAGCUGCGGCAGCGACGCUUAUGCGUUGUUGGGUAGGGGAGCGUUCUGUAAGCCUGUGAAGGUGUGCUGUGAGGCAUGCUGGAGGUAUCAGAAGUGCGAAUGCUGACAUAAGUAACGAUAAAGCGGGUGAAAAGCCCGCUCGCCGGAAGACCAAGGGUUCCUGUCCAACGUUAAUCGGGGCAGGGUGAGUCGACCCCUAAGGCGAGGCCGAAAGGCGUAGUCGAUGGGAAACAGGUUAAUAUUCCUGUACUUGGUGUUACUGCGAAGGGGGGACGGAGAAGGCUAUGUUGGCCGGGCGACGGUUGUCCCGGUUUAAGCGUGUAGGCUGGUUUUCCAGGCAAAUCCGGAAAAUCAAGGCUGAGGCGUGAUGACGAGGCACUACGGUGCUGAAGCAACAAAUGCCCUGCUUCCAGGAAAAGCCUCUAAGCAUCAGGUAACAUCAAAUCGUACCCCAAACCGACACAGGUGGUCAGGUAGAGAAUACCAAGGCGCUUGAGAGAACUCGGGUGAAGGAACUAGGCAAAAUGGUGCCGUAACUUCGGGAGAAGGCACGCUGAUAUGUAGGUGAAGUCCCUCGCGGAUGGAGCUGAAAUCAGUCGAAGAUACCAGCUGGCUGCAACUGUUUAUUAAAAACACAGCACUGUGCAAACACGAAAGUGGACGUAUACGGUGUGACGCCUGCCCGGUGCCGGAAGGUUAAUUGAUGGGGUCAGCGCAAGCGAAGCUCUUGAUCGAAGCCCCGGUAAACGGCGGCCGUAACUAUAACGGUCCUAAGGUAGCGAAAUUCCUUGUCGGGUAAGUUCCGACCUGCACGAAUGGCGUAAUGAUGGCCAGGCUGUCUCCACCCGAGACUCAGUGAAAUUGAACUCGCUGUGAAGAUGCAGUGUACCCGCGGCAAGACGGAAAGACCCCGUGAACCUUUACUAUAGCUUGACACUGAACAUUGAGCCUUGAUGUGUAGGAUAGGUGGGAGGCUUAGAAGUGUGGACGCCAGUCUGCAUGGAGCCGACCUUGAAAUACCACCCUUUAAUGUUUGAUGUUCUAACG